rnacentral:rRNA from 1 species
UACGUAGGGACCAAGCGUUGUUCGGAUUUACUGGGCGUAAAGGGCGCGUAGGCGGCAUGACAAGUCACUUGUGAAAUCUCCGGGCUUAACUCGGAACGGCCAAGUGAAACUGUCAAGCUAGAGUGCAGAAGGGGCAAUCGGAAUUCUUGGUGUAGCGGUGAAAUGCGCAGAUAUCAGGAGGAACACCGGUGGCGAAGGCGGAUCUCUGGGCCUUACCUGACGCUGAGGCGCGAAAGCUAGGGGAGCGAACAGG